UACAGGAGGUCUCAAGCGUUGUUCGGAGUUCAUUGGGCGUAAAGGGUGCGUAGGUGGCGGGGCAAGUUUGGUGUGAAAUCCCGGGGCUCAACCCGGAACUGCACUGAAUACUGCCUUGCUUGAGCACUGGAGAGGGAACUGGAAUUUACGGUGUAGCAGUGAAAUGCGUAGAUAUCGUAAGGAAGACCAGUGGCGAAGGCGAGUUCCUGGACAGU
rnacentral:rRNA from 1 species